GGGGGUAAUGACCCAUGAGUCCCGAUAACCGAAAGGUCGUCGGGAGAAAGAUGGCCUCUAGUUAUAAGCCAUCACCUUGAGAGCGGUCUGCGGCCUAUCAGGUAGUUGGCGGGGUAAUAGCCCACCAAGCCUAAGACGGGUAGCUGGCCUUAGAGGGUGGUCAGCAACAUCGGGACUGAGACACUGCCCGGACUCCUACGGGAGGCUGCAGUCGAGGAUUUUUCUCAAUGGGGGAAACCCUGAAGAUGCGACGCCGCGUGAGGGAUGAAGGCCUUCGGGUUGUAAACCUCUUUUGUUAGGGAGGAAUACGCAAGAGUGAACAAUUCUUGCGGGUGACUGUACCUGACGAAUAAGCCACGGCUAACUCUGUGCCAGCAGCCGCGGUAAUACAGAGGUGGCAAGCGUUACUCGGAAUGACUGGGUGUAAAGGGUCCGCAGGCGGCCUUGCAAGUGUAAAGUGAAAUCCUUGGGCUCAACCCAAGAACUGCUUUUCAAACUACAAGGCUAGAGGAUGGGAGAGGAGAGUGGAACUGCCGGUGUAAAGGUGAAAUUUGUGGAUAUCGGCAGGAACACCAGUGGAGAAGUCGGCUCUCUGGCCCAUAUCUGACGCUCAGGGACGAAAGCUAGGGGAGCAAACAGGAUUAGAUACCCUGGUAGUCCUAGCCGUAAACUAUGGGCACUAGGUGUUUGUCCGCAAGGAUAGAUGCCGCAGCUAACGCGUUAAGUGCCCCACCUGGGGACUACGGCCGCAAGGCUAAAACUCAAAGGAAUUGACGGGGGCCCGCACAAGCAGUGGAACACGUGGUUUAAUUCGAUGCUACGCGAGGAACCUUACCAGGGUUUGACAUGCUUGAAGUAGCGCUGCGAAAGCAGUUGCGACCUGUAACCAAUCAGGAACUUGCACAGGUGCUGCAUGGCUGUCGUCAGCUCGUGCCGUGAGGUGUUUCCUUAAGUGGAAGAACGAGCGCAACCCUCGUGCUUAGUUGCCAGUUCCGGUGUUGAACCGGAGCGCACUCUAAGCAGACUGCCCGCGUUAAGUGGGAGGAAGGUGGGGACGACGUCAAGUCCGCAUGGCCUUUAUAUCCUGGGCUACACACGUGUUACAAUGCCUACUACAAUGGGAGGCCAAACCGCAAGGUGGAGCAAAUCCUCUAAAAGUAGGCCCAGUUCGGAUUGAGGGCUGCAACUCGUCCUCAUGAAGCUGGAAUUGCUAGUAAUGGCGUAUCAGCUACGACGCCGUGAAUACGUUCCCGGGCCUUGUACACACCGCCCGUCAAGCGCUGAAAGUGGGGGGCACCCGAAGACCGGACGCAAGUUUGGGACACGGUGAAUUUCAUGAUUGGCGCUAAGUCGUAACAAGGUA
rnacentral:rRNA from 1 species